AACUUGGACCUGGCUGUCGGGAGGCGAGGUUGAAGCCUUGGCCCACCCCACAAGAGGGCGGGACCGAGAGACGGAAGGAAGCAGGACAUGGAGGGAACGGGAAGGAAACAGAGGCAGGACUGCUGGCUGGGAAGGGUCCAGGGGGAGGGAGAAACCACUUCUCCUUCCCUUUCUGAUGCUAGCAAGAUUAUGACUGCAGAGCGGGGCUGCACAGGGCAGAACUUCCCAAAAAUCAGGAGGAGCACGUAUCCCCAACAGAGGUUGCAGUCCCCAAAUCAUGUGGUCACCUCCCACCUCCUCUGCCCACACUGGAGCUUCGUCUGCAGUGAGCUCUGGCCUCGGGCCCUUGGGGACCCAGCAGUGCCCCUUCCUCCAGAUAUCAGGGCAAAAGAGAGGCAGAGAAACCGGAGAGAUCCAAAGACAAGUGGCAAGCGACAGCAAGAGAUGCGGCGUCACCCUGUGCUAUGGAUGAAGAAACCAAGGCGCAAGAGCUCAGGAGACGGAGAUUGGGCAAGGUUAAGGAACAUGGCCAAGGUCACACAGGCGGCCACACCGGAGCUCGGACUCGGACGCCAUCAGGUCUGCAUCUGGGUCGCCCGGCUCCUACGUCCUACAUUCAUCAGUCAGCCAUGUGGUAUGCCAUUUCGUGGAUGCAUUGUGAUUUCAGCAGCCAAUCUGGAACUGGGGUGUUCUCAGAUCAUGUCUCAUUAAAGACACACGAAUAGGUGGAAUACAGAGGAUUUGGUGUGUCGGGCGGUGAAAUGACUGCAUAUGUGACCACGAUGGUGGAUACAUGUCACACAUUUGUCGGAGAAGAUAGAACGCCAAGAGUGAAUCCUAACGUACACUAUGCACUCUGGGUGAUAAUGAUGUGUCUGUACAGAUUUGUCAGCUGUAACAAGUGUCUCACUCUGGUGCGGGAUGCUGACAGUGUGGACACGGGGACAGGGAGUGUAUGAGAACUGUCUGUAUUUCCCACUCAAGUUUUCCGUGACCCUAAAACUGUCUGAAAAAUGAAGUUUUUUGUUAAUAAAAAUCAAUCGAUCACGCAAGUGUAAAUUUAA